UACGGAGGAUCCAAGCGUUAUCCGGAUUUAUUGGGUUUAAAGGGUGCGUAGGCGGAUUGAUAAGUUAGAGGUGAAAUGUCCGAGCUCAACUCGGGAACUGCCUCUAAUACUGUUGAUCUAGAGAGUAGAUGCGGUAGGCGGAAUGUAUGGUGUAGCGGUGAAAUGCGUAGAUAUUAGGAGGAACACCAGUGGCGAAGGCGGUCUGCUGGACAGUAACUGACGGUGAGGCGCGAAAGCGUGGGGAGCAAACAGG
rnacentral:rRNA from 1 species